rnacentral:misc_RNA from 1 species
CCUAUGGAGAAUGAGUUGGAGUUUAUAAGUUUUUAGAGAAUAUUUGGUGGCAAAAUUAUGUGUGCAAGAAAGGUAAAUAUUUUGAUGUAAAUUGUUUUGUUAAAAAGGAGUGAUUCUCCACAUUUUUAACAUGAAAUUUAGCAACUUUUUGUAAGUGUUAGAUGCACUAUUUGUUGACUUGAAGAAGGCUUCCCUUUGCCUAUAAAAAGGAGAUUGAUGAGUAGAUAAGGGUGUGGGAGUUCAGUGUUGAUGGAGUGUUGAGAGAAUGAAGAAGAAGAAAUAUUUGUUUAGUGUUUGUAUUGUUUCUGUUUUAUCAAUGAAGUUCAUUUUUUUUUUCUCCAUCUUUAAUCUCUCUUUUGUUGUGUUAUUGUGAAGCAUU